CAGCAGCCGCGGUAAUACGUAGGUGGCAAGCGUUGUCCGGAAUUAUUGGGCGUAAAGGGCUCGCAGGCGGUUUCUUAAGUCUGAUGUGAAAGCCCCCGGCUCAACCGGGGAGGGUCAUUGGAAACUGGGAAACUUGAGUGCAGAAGAGGAGAGUGGAAUUCCACGUGUAGCGGUGAAAUGCGUAGAGAUGUGGAGGAACACCAGUGGCGAAGGCGACUCUCUGGUCUGUAACUGACGCUGAGGAGCGAAAGCGUGGGGAGCGAACAGGAUUAGAGACCCCAGUAGUCCCUGUCUCUUAUAA
rnacentral:rRNA from 1 species